CUCUGGAGUCUGGUGGCCUGCAGCACCUAUAAGAACAAGCUCGUCCAGUGUGCCUGCAUUCCAGCUUCUUAGACUCUACGCAAGUGGACAGUGUUUGGCCACUCUUACAGACAACGACUUCUGUCAACUGACUGCUACUGAUCAGGCACCUCACUCCAGGAAGACAGAGGGCUGCAAGCCUGUCAUCAUUUCCAGUGUGGCUUUGUAUUCUUAGGGUAGCAUCAGAUUUUUCCCACAAAUAUUCAAAGAGGCAGUGGAGACUGUCAGAAAACGACUACAAGAAGACAGCUCCUUGGAGGACAG